UAAUGGGUUGUGUUUGUAAUUUUUAAUAUUAUGAGCUCUUAUACGAAACUCAAAUCCACCUUUUCUUAUUUCGUCUCUAUCGUUAUCCUUCUAGAUUCCCUUUUGCCUUUAUCGUGUCAAGAUUCCGUAUUACCACAAGAUCUUUGUAACAGACGAAGUAAAUUAGAGCCUUCCCCAGCGAUUAAUUGUUAGACGUUAAUGAUGGCAUUCAAUCGUAGAAAUCCACAGCAUCGUCAUCCUUACAACUUCCCUACCUUUUUCACUAUUUUAGGUACACUAUAUAUGGAAUUGAAAAGGAGGGCUCUGGUCAACUAAUCGUCACGCUAUCUCCAAUGAAUCAUGUGAAUCCUCAACUGCUUCUGUCCGAGUUAAAGGCCGGUCGGUAUAAGAAAAUUGUUGCUAACCUUCUCCUCAGUUUUUGGGACGCAGAUAGUUGAAGAGAGCUUAUGGUUCUGGUUGAUUAGAAGGGGGAAUCUCUGGCGUUCUUGAAGGCGUGUUGUCAAUGACAAAAGUGGUGGUUGUGUUGCUUUCGUUUUUGGCUGCGUUGUCAAAUAUUAACAGACAUGUAUUCCUUGGUUACUGAAGCUAAUGGUCAGCAUCAGGUGUACAUGAUUUUUUUUAUCUUAUGUCCACUGAAAUUUAGUUAAUUUGUAGAUUAUUAACCAACACUUUUUCUUCUUCAAUAAGACAAAUGACCUCUAUCAGUUAGCCGCUGUUGCGUUUUGUCUACUCCUAGCCUGGAUUAGUGAUAAGCUAUGGUUAAGUCUAGAACUAUGUGCUUUUGCCGCAGGGGUCAUGAUAUCAACUAGGAAUCUCGAUAAACAUACAUUGGGCAAGUAAGUUGUGAUCAUGUAUUACCAAAAAGACUGCUUUCAUCUACUUGUCUCUUUUUUCAUCUCCCAGAACUGUUUUAUGUGUCCUCGCUGAUUUAAUUUGAUCAUAGUCGAGGUUCUCAUAGCAAGGUGAGUUAUGUCUAGGCUAGAAAGUAAUCUGUUGACAAGUAUGUAAUGUUAAACCCUUAAAGAGUCCAUAGACUUACCCAUGUGCUUUAUAUUUUGAUUCAGAUCGAACCAUCCUAAUAUGUUGUAUUAAACAUUAUCGCAGACUUUUCCCAAAGAAUUUAUGUUUAUGUGUCAUGGCGCUGGUUGAUUCUUUAUUUGGAAAAGUUCCAUGAAAGUUUUCAAAAGGACGAUGCUCGCCGUAUGAGAGUGAUGUUGUGUUUGGGGUUGUCCUUAUGCUAAUUUUCUUCUUAAGUUUUGUAGACCGAGUCAUUGUUGAAGUUAUGUAUACAAAUUUACUUUAAUGA